GUCAAAGUCUAUUCUUAUUUAUAUUGGUAUAAAUCCAAACUCUUGUGCAACAAAGCAGAAUGUGGCCCCUUUGUCCGAGCGUGAAAGAAUAAAACAGCUCUGUGUCUGAAGAGUUCCUGUUCCAUUUUACAGCAUUCCAGGAAUCCCACUGCAGACAAUUUCCACAGGAGCCCUGCUGGAGGCUGCCAAGGAACCUAAGUACUGAAAUAUGGAAGAAACAGAGAUGGAUUGAUUUUGUCUCAGAUCACACAGCAAGGAAAGGAGAGGAAGAAUUCCCUCCCAAUGGACCUGGCACAGUGAGAGGACAGAGGACACUCACCAGCCCUCUUCCCAAUGAGAUGGAGGAAGGUGAGGCAUCGGUGGUGGAGGGCCGAAGCCCAGCCCAGAACUCUGCGGGCGUUGGGGGGGGGCAGAAGCCCCAGCCCGAAGUUCAAG